AUUGAACGCUGGCGGCAUGCCUUACACAUGCAAGUCGAACGGCAGCACGGGUGCUUGCACCUGGUGGCGAGUGGCGAACGGGUGAGUAAUACAUCGGAACAUGUCCUGUAGCGGGGGAUAGCCCGGCGAAAGCCGGAUUAAUACCGCAUACGAUCUACGGAUGAAAGCGGGGGACCUUCGGGCUUCGCGCUAUCGGGUUGGCCGAUGGCUGAUUAGCUAGUUGGUGGGGUAAAGGCCUACCAAGGCGACGAUCAGUAGCUGGUCUGAGAGGACGACCAGCCACACUGGGACUGAGACACGGCCCAGACUCCUACGGGAGGCAGCAGUGGGGAAUUUUGGACAAUGGGCGAAAGCCUGAUCCAGCAAUGCCGCGUGUGUGAAGAAGGCCUUCGGGUUGUAAAGCACUUUUGUCCGGAAAGAAAUCCUUGACCCUAAUACGGUCGGGGGAUGACGGUACCGGAAGAAUAAGCACCGGCUAACUACGUG
rnacentral:rRNA from 1 species